UAGAACUCUCUUUCUUACAUAGUUUAUCCCAAAAUAACUUAAUAUAGAGAACUAUAUGCUAUCGGUGAUAUUUGUGCCAUGUUUCAUACCAUGCAGUCCUAAUAUUAAGGACACUAUGCACUGAUAAAAUAUAGAAAUAAUGUGGCUAUCAAUACUGAGCCAAAGAGGAAGAAAUUGUUCCUGCUCUCCUUAGACGACUGGACAGGUUAUUUGGAGCAUGUGGAGAACUAAAUUGUCUGAGGGAUGCCAGGCAUGAUUAUACUGUCAAAAAGUAUAUAGAAGGAGUAUGUAUGUAAAAAACUAACACAAAGAGAUUUGGGGAACUGUGGGAAAAGGACACGACAUGAUAUGUAGAGGACAGUGAGUAAGGAAGCAAGUGGCAAAGAACAACACUGAACCUAAGCAAGUAAAUCGCCCCGUUAAGAUGGGGCAUACUGCAUUCUGGUCUGUGCUUCAACUAUUUCAUCACUUGUCUCUUAGCAAAAGGAGCCAUUCCUGCGAGUGGGAGAGCUGGCAGGUCUGCAGGGCAGAUGUGGACACCUCCUCUUGACUGCUUCACUGCCAGAGGUCCAGGCACAACCUGGCCUGAGGAAUGGAAUAGUUGUUCACGUCAAAAUUUAAAUGAUCAAGAGGCCGCUGAGUAGAACCUUGCUGAGAUGAAUGGGGAAGUUCAAAUCUCACAGAGAUAUUCUUCUUGCUUUCAACCAGCUGGCAUAGUCAUGUCUGGUUUGAAUGAGUCAUAGGUAAGAGAUCGUUUACACAAACUGGACAUCUACAAAUCCAUGGACCCUGAUGGGCUGCACCUGCGAGUGCUGAGAGAGUUGGAACAUGUUAUUGCAAAGCAACUCUCCAUCAUCUUUGUAAGGUCUUGGAGAACAGGAGAGGUGCCUGAAGACCAGAAGAAAGCUGACUUCCCUCUGGUCUUCAAAAAGGGCAAGAAGGAUGACCCAGGAAGUCAGUAUGGGUAGUUAGCAUGGGUUCAACAAAGCGAAAUCAUGUUUGUCCAACCUGACAGCCUUCUGGCUGAGUGGACAAUGGAAGAGAAGUGGACAUUAUGAAUGUCAAGAGGAUGGGACCAGAUUCCUUUCAGUGGUGCCCAAUGAUAGGAUGAGGGCAAUGGGCAUGGACUGAAGCACAGGAGGUUCCAUCUGAAUAUGAGGAGAAACUUCUUUACCUUAAGAGUGACAGAGCACUGGAACAGUCUACCCAGAGAGGUUGUGCAGUCUCUGGAGACUCUCAAGACCCACCUGGAUGCAUUCCUUUGUGAUCUACUCUAGGUGAACCCGCUUUAGCAGGUGGGUUGGACUAGAUGAUAUCCAGAGGUCCCUUCGAACCCUAACCAUUCUGUGAUUCUCUCUAAUUUGCUUGGCAAAAUUACGCUAAAAGAUAGGACAAGUAUUAAGCAUAAUUUUACGCUAUGUCUUAGCUUAGAAAUGCCUUUCUUUCAAUGUACAUUUGCUUGCUUAUCCUUUGUAGUAAUAACCAUGAAAACACACCACAGGUUUUUUCCAUCAAAUUGAAAUUAUGGAAGUAAUUCAGUGUAUUAUAAUUCCAGACUAUUCCUCAAAUAAGGUUUUGUGGGGGUAGGGAGUGGGGGAGGUAGUUGGCUUGGAAUUUCUUUAGUCAGGGAGUGUGCCUAAUCAGAAAAUUACAUCUCUUUAACAGCAUUUUCUACGUACUGUUCUGUAUCUGAGAUGAGUUGACCCACAAGCCUAAAUAUGCUCCAAGUCAUACCCCAUAAAUUAAGGGGACUCCAGUAAGAACAGGAUAUGUAAGUCCAGCUUACUUGAAGCUUAGAAAUGAUAGCUGCAUUUCUACAGGGUAAGAGAGCUAUUUGGCCUAUCCUUUUAUAGAAAAACUUUUUUUUAAAAAAAUAAAAGACACAUCACACACAAAACUAAAUCCGAGUAAAAGGACUGCUAUGUAUGCUAGAUGUUCUAGCCAGCUUCCAAGAAAACUUGCACGUUAUACCUUACUACUGGCAAGAUGUUGUGAGUGGACACAGCUGAUGGAUCCCAACUUUUCAAGCCCUUUAGAUCUAAAUACUUUUUUUGGAUCUAGACCUGAGGGCACACUGUGAAGUUCCAACCCUUUGCCUGGCAUCCUCUCGAGACAGGUAGAAACAGAAACACCAUUUCUUUCUUAAGUGUGUUUUUUUACCUAGGGCUCUUGCAGCUUGCAGGUACUUGCAUGGGCUUGUUUGUAUGAAGUCAUGGACUCAGACAAGGGCAAUGUCUCCUAUUUGCUGGCUGAAGACAUUACCAGCAGCCCUCACCCCACUUUUACCCUGGAGACUGCUGCUCUCUCAGAUCUGGAGGUAGGCUGGGCACAUGAGGCCUCUCUGACUCUUCUCAGUCCAAGUGGGGUGGGUAGUUCAAAUAGUUAAUCUUGACUAAGUGUCCUCAUUUUGAUGGGAAUGAUUUAAUGAACAGCUCCGAGGAAACAGUAGCUGACAGCAGAGGCCACCAACAAACAACCGAGACAGUGCAGGCAAAGGGAAAUGGUGAUUUCUUUAACUCAGCCAGACAGAAAUGGGCAUAAUCAAGCACCAACACUGCAGAACUAAUCAAAUCUGAAGUGACUUGUUACCAUUUCUCACCUCUCCAGGCCAAGGCAGGUGUCAGGAGCACAGUUCAAGUAGCGUACCUUUAGCAAGUUAAGACAUGUGGCCAGAUGCAACUCAUAAUUUGUCACUGUCACAAUUGCCAUUGCAGCAGUCUGUAUUCUGGUUGAAUGCAGCCUUCUAUCUGAUUUAUUAUUAAGCUGGGAAAAGAAAAUCUGAAUAGUUUGAAAAUGAAUAAAGGAAGUUUGAGAAUUUCAUGUUUCAGAUGGAAAAGGAAAGAGAAAUGUAUUAAUUUGAAUUUAGUCUUCAUGCAAGCAGAAACAAGGUUUGUGGGUACUGAUAACUCAAAACAUGAAGGGAUUAGUCCUAGAAAAGGAAUUACAAUUAAAUCAUAGUCAUCAUUCAAAACAGGGCAGAGAGGAAGUUUUAAAUGUACAUUUAAUUAUACAAAUUUUGUGGAUUAUAUAGUAAAAUUAACAUGUAAUCCUGUUCAAAGGCUGUGUUUUAAGUUAACAAAUUAAGUUAUAUUUGAAGAAGUGAUAAAGAGAUUACAGUUCUGCUGAAAGAGAAAAUUAUAACAUGCAGCACUUUUACUCUCUGGUAGUCCCUUUUAAUGCAGCAGAGGGAUGGGAACCUGCCCACACAUGAAUGAGCUGAGUCCCAUAAGAAAAAUCAGCCACACGAGGCAGCUUUCCUCUGACUUGCCCAUUAGUGGUUGCUUGGGGCUGCUCCAGGAGGCUGCUCAGAGCACCUUGAGUUGGGCUCCCAGUUUGAAUGGUCCCUGGGAAAAACUUCUCCCUUGGUUACAGGAGACUUAAGAGAUUAGACCCUCAUGGCUAAGCAUAGACUUCAUCAACACCCUUCUUAAUUUCCUUCUGUUUUUCCUUACUACUGAUGGUGCCUUACUGUCCAGUGUGUUCACAUUCACACAUCUCCCUGCACUUCCAGAGAUGCAGAUAUCUCACAAGAGUUGCCGUGUAUUUCACACUGAGAAAAGGAAACACUCAUACCUUGGGAGGUCUGCUGUAGACAGACAUUUAAUUCAGUGUAUUAAAUAAGGAGAAACCCCAACAGGCUACAAGCAUCCUGUUGAUAUCCAUCUGAACUAUUCCUGGCAUGACACUUGUCUUCCUUCUAGUUCUUCUUGUAUUGCACUCCAACUGCAGAGCAGGUGGGAACAGAAAGCUCUGUAAUUUAACUCCCAGGCUCACCUUUCUCAAGAAAGAAAAUAAGUGAACUACAAUUACUGGCCAAUUUCUUUUUCCUGUAGUCUUUGAACUUUAAUGAACUAGAAAGAAGAGUAACAAAAUAGAGGAGACAGGAAAAUAAGGUCAUCUACCCAACUGGUCGUAUAUCUUCUUUUGCUUUCUUCUGCUUUUAGUUUUGUUAUUAAAAGAAAAAUGUUUUCAUCAGUACAAAAUGGCGGGAAGCUGUUUGAAGAGUGACUAAUCAGAAAUACGGAGUGUGAUACCUCUUAAAUUCAAAUAAAGAAAUUUGAUUCUUCUCUUUCUUCAUAUGACAUCUUCCUUCACCUCCCAUUUGUCUCUCUUCCUGUACUCUGCUCCCCUUUCAGAAGUUUCCUUUUAAUGAAAGGGCAGAAUAUUUCAGAAGCAGAGGUUAUGUUCUCUCAUGUCAUUUAUCUGUGAGUCCAAAAGCUUGACAUUCUCUCUUGAGAAUGAGUUAUAAAACACUUGCAGAGCUGGACAUGCAUCUGAAACCAAUUUGAAGGCUGCAGAAAGUUUUUCUUUGAUGCCACCAAUUACUUCCUGCAUUUCAUUAUGUCUUUGUUGCUCUUCACUUUCAUAACUCCCAUAGGCAUAAUCAAAUAAGUUUUAAAUUAAAAUGUAUUUGCCUAAACAGAUAUUUUCUAUCUCAUUUUACUUGUGACAGGCUUAAUGAAAUCAUAAAGACAACGUGUAUUUGUACAACAAUUAGCUUUCAGAAAUUGCCUAUGUAUGUUUGAAAAAACUUAGGUAGUGGGCUUCUGAGGUGUCAGAAUAUCUGGACAGUAUAUGAUUUGAAGCAUUAUUAGCUAUCUGCAUAUUCACAUCAUAGGACUGCUUUCUGUUUCUUUGGUUUCCUGCAUUAUUGAUUGUGCAGUAUCACUCAGAGAAUGUCAGAGAAGCCAGAAAAUGGGCUUAAUUUCUUGCUGCCCUGUGGGACCUGUAGAAGGAACACCGAGUGUAAUGUGUAGUAUUUGUACCACAUAUGAAUGUAUGCAAAAACCCGCCGUGUCCUCUAUCAGCAACAAAAAACAAAUUAUGGAUGAUUUAAGAAUAUCUUUUUGACAUGACCUUCAUGUUUCAAAGUAAAACAAGGAACAGGGUGGAGGGAGGAAUUAAACUAGAGGGAAUGGUACAGUUUCUACAUAAGCAAAUAUGGUAUGAUAGCUGAUAAUUUCCAGGAACAUAUAAAGCAUUCGAGCAUUGGCUAUUCUUCAUGUGUGUAACAUUUCCUGAUGACUUGAAGAAUAUCCCAUGCCUAAUAUGGACGAAGUAUUUUUCUAAGUAAGACAAAGCGAUAGCUGUGCAUUGGCUAAAACAGAAGAUGAUCUGACAGAACAAUACAAAGAUCCGAGGGAGAGCCAGUUUUUAAAUAUACAUACUCGCUGCAUAUCCACUGUUUCAAAUUAAUACAAUAGAGUGCUAUAAUAAUAAGCGCUUUCUAGUCAUCUGCCUUUUUCUGUUCAGUGUUGCCAAAAUUCUCAUCAGCCAAACCUUAGUUCUUUUCUCUUAACUAUUCUGUAGCUAGAAAACAUUUUAAAUGCCUCAGACUUUUUUUUUUUUUGUUUUGUUUUUUGUUUUUUAUUUUUUUUCAGUGUAUGUUUUAAUUGAUUUUUUGGUUUGCAAGGCAAAGGUCUAGACAGGCCUAUAUAUCCAUGACUUAUUCAUGCAAAAAAUAUUAUUUAGAGAACGGGCCUGUAAUGUCAAGGGAUUUUAAGAAUUGUGUAUAUUCAUAGAGUAAUCUUGAGGCUGUGAGUAGGUCAAGCUGAAGAGAAAAAAGUAAAAGCAAAAGGUCAGGAUACGAGUUAAUUUUGCCACAAGGUUUUCCAUUAUAUGGCAGAUACUUACUGUUCAAGAAGGAAAAUAUAUGUGAUAAAUUGUUUACUUGCAUUUCUCCCAGAACUCCCAAAGGCUUCCCAUUUCAAAAUACUUUCCCUUUCUCUGCAAGCAAGGGUAUUGUUUAUGAGUUAUAUAGCACAAAAUUUUUUCUUGUUGACUGUAAUAGGAAUGUCUCUGGGUGAUCAGCUGGCAAUCAGUAAUCUUUACAUGACCAUUUUAUAAUUAUUGGUUCAUCAUAUGCCUGGAAAAAAAAAAAUGAAUUGAAAACUGGUGUGAAGAUAACAUAUUCUAUAAAGAGGAACUGAUGCAAUAGUUUCUAAGUACAUUUGCAUUGAUUUAAACCGAAGUCAGUCCACUUACAUCAGAGGAGUAUUAUGGAUUCACUGUAGUGUAGCUCAACAUCCAGGUCCAAGCUUUUAGAAAUAAAUUGGUCCCAUUUGCAUGAUAUAAUGAACAGAAUUUUCUGAUAUUCAGGGGACUUGAGAGUUAACAGCCUAGAGCUAAAUCAUAGAUCAGAAAGGUAAUGUGGAAAUAAUAGAGCUUAUGGAAAUAAUAGGGCACACAUGCUGUAAGGGAUCCCAGGGACUGCACAUACUCUGCCUUUGUUAAUUUUUCACGGCAUUUUGCAUUCAAAAGUACACACACAUCUCACUGGGUGAGAAUUGUUUGUGCAUGUAGAAGUGGCACUUCAGCCUGGAAGCCUUUGUAAGCCUUCACUUUCCUUUAAAUUCAAAAGUACUAUUCAUCGGAGUUGAGCACAGCACAUUACACAACCUCUGUGGCCAGCCCCAGCGUUACUGGUGCAGU